rnacentral:rRNA from 1 species
GACGAACGCUGGCGGCGUGCUUAACACAUGCAAGUCGAACGCUGAAGCCUAGCUUGCUGGGUGGAUGAGUGGCGAACGGGUGAGUAACACGUGAGUAACCUGCCCUCUUCUUUGGGAUAACGCCCGGAAAUGGGUGCUAAUACUGGAUAUUCACUGGUCUUCGCAUGGGGGUUGGUGGAAAGGGUUUUUCUGGUGGGGGAUGGGCUCGCGGCCUAUCAGCUUGUUGGUGGGGUGAUGGCCUACCAAGGCUUUGACGGGUAGCCGGCCUGAGAGGGUGACCGGUCACAUUGGGACUGAGAUACGGCCCAGACUCCUACGGGAGGCAGCAGUGGGGAAUAUUGCACAAUGGGCGCAAGCCUGAUGCAGCGACGCCGCGUGAGGGAUGGAGGCCUUCGGGUUGUGAACCUCUUUCGCUCAUGGUCAAGCCGCAACUGUGGGUUGUGGUGAGGGUAGUGGGUAAAGAAGCGCCGGCUAACUACGUGCCAGCAGCCGCGGUAAUACGUAGGGCGCGAGCGUUGUCCGGAAUUAUUGGGCGUAAAGGGCUUGUAGGCGGUUGGUCGCGUCUGUCGUGAAAUCCUCUGGCUUAACUGGGGGCGUGCGGUGGGUACGGGCUGGCUUGAGUGCGGUAGGGGAGACUGGAACUCCUGGUGUAGCGGUGGAAUGCGCAGAUAUCAGGAAGAACACCGGUGGCGAAGGCGGGUCUCUGGGCCGUUACUGACGCUGAGGAGCGAAAGCGUGGGGAGCGAACAGG